rnacentral:tRNA from 2 species
GGAGAAGUGGCCGAGUGGUUGAAGGCGCACGAUUGGAAUUCGUGUAUGCGUUAAUAGCGUAUCGUGGGUUCGAAUCCCACCUUCUCCGCCA